rnacentral:rRNA from 1 species
UACGUAGGGGGCAAGCGUUAUCCGGAUUUACUGGGUGUAAAGGGAGCGUAGACGGCACUGCAAGUCCGGAGUGAAAGCCCAAGGCUUAACCAUGGGACUGCUCUGGAAACUGUGGGGCUUGAGUGCGGGAGGGGCAGGCGGAAUUCCUAGUGUAGCGGUGAAAUGCGUAGAUAUUAGGAGGAACACCGGCGGCGAAGGCGGCCUGCUGGACCGUAACUGACGUUGAGGCUCGAAAGCGUGGGGAGCAAACAGG